rfam:Triticum aestivum genome assembly, contig: Triticum_aestivum_CS42_TGACv1_scaffold_197105_3AL
AGCAUGCUCCGUCUGUCCGAAUUACUUGUCGCACAAAUAGAUGUGUUUAGAUAUAUUUUAGUUCUAGAUACGUUCAUUAUUAUUCAUUUCCGCGGCAAGUAAUUCAGGACGAAGGGGGUAUUAU